rnacentral:tRNA from 8 species
GCCCGGGUGGCGAAAUUGGUAGACGCACAAGACUUAAAAUCUUGCGAUAGAAAUAUCGUACCGGUUCGAUUCCGGUCCCGGGCACCA